AACGAACGCUGGCGGCAGGCUUAACACAUGCAAGUCGAACGGCAGCACGGGGGCAACCCUGGUGGCGAGUGGCGAACGGGUGAGUAAUGCAUCGGAACGUGCCCUGUCGUGGGGGAUAACACAUCGAAAGAUGUGCUAAUACCGCAUACGACCUGAGGGUGAAAGCGGGGGACCGUAAGGCCUCGCGCGAUAGGAGCGGCCGAUGUCUGAUUAGCUAGUUGGUGGGGUAAAGGCCUACCAAGGCGACGAUCAGUAGCUGGUCUGAGAGGACGACCAGCCACACGGGGACUGAGACACGGCGCAGACUCCUACGGGAGGCAGCAGUGGGGAAUUUUGGACAAUGGGGGCAACCCUGAUCCAGCCAUGCCGCGUGCGGGAAGAAGGCCUUCGGGUUGUAAACCGCUUUUGGCAGGAACGAAACGGUGCGGGCGAAUACCCUGUGCUAAUGACGGUACCUGCAGAAUAAGCACCGGCUAACUACGUGCCAGCAGCCGCAGUAAAAC
rnacentral:rRNA from 1 species